rnacentral:lncRNA from 1 species
CGGUCACGACAUAGAGGAGUGUAUUCAGCUUCGAGACGAUAUCGAGGAGCUUAUCAGAUGAGGUCGGCUCGACAGAUUCAUUCGACACCGACCUGAAGGUAGGGAAGACCGGCCUAGGACCCUACCGCAGUCGGAGCCACCAAGGAGGGAGGAGCAGCCUAAUGAUCGACCUCCGAUUGGGAUUAUCAACUCCAUCUCAGGAGGACCCC